rnacentral:rRNA from 1 species
GGGUGCAAACGUUGUUCGGAAUUACUGGGCGUAAAGCGUGUGUAGGCGGUCUCAUAAGUCGGAUGUGAAAGCCCCGGGCUCAACUCGGGAAGUGCAUUCGAAACUGCGAGGCUAGAGUAUCGGAGAGGUUGGUGGAAUUCUCGGUGUAGAGGUGAAAUUCGUAGAUAUCGAGAGGAACACCGGUGGCGAGGGCGGCCAACUGGACGAAUACUGACGCUGAGACACGAAAGCGUGGGGAGCAAACAGG